rnacentral:rRNA from 1 species
UCCUAUCUGGUUGAUCCUGCCAGUAGUCAUAUGCUUGUCUCAAAGAUUAAGCCAUGCAUGUCUGAGUACAGACCGAUCUAAGGUGAAACCGCGAAUGGCUCAUUAAAUCAGUCAUAAUUCCUUGGAUAGUGAAAAACUUCCUCGGAUAACUGUGGAAAAUCCAGAGCUAAUACGUGCAAAAGAGCUCCGACCUCGGCGAGAGCCUUGGGAAGAGCGCAUUUAUUAGAUUCAAAACUGACCGGCGUACUCUUUCGGGAUACGCAGUUUGUCAAAAGCUUGAUGACUCCGGAUAACUUAGCCGAGCGCUACGGUCUUAGUACCGGCGCCGUAUCUUUCAAGUGUCUGCCUUAUCAGCUUUCGAUUGUAGGUUAAAUGCCUACAAUGGCUGUAACGGGUAACGGGGAAUCAGGGUUCGAUUCCGGAGAGGGAGCCUGAGAAACGGCUACCACAUCUAAGGAAGGCAGCAGGCACGUAAAUUACCCACUCCCAGCACGGGGAGGUAGUGACGAAAAAUAACGAUGGGAGUCUCUUUUGAGGCCUCUCAAUCGGAAUGAGUCCGUUUUAAAUCGUUGGACGAGGAUCAAUUGGAGGGCAAGUCUGGUGCCAGCAGCCGCGGUAAUUCCAGCUCCAAUAGCGUAUAUUAAAGUUGCUGCGGUUAAAAACUCGUAGUUGGAUCUCCUAGAUCCAAUUCGUGGGCGAGUGGCUCUUUGUGCUAACGUCUCGCGCAGUUAACUAGACUAGGUUACGGUUCUUGUCUCUCUCGGUUUCGAUCGUGAGCUGAUUGAGUUCCGCUUUCCGAAUCUUGUUGACGGCGAUUCGUGGUCUUAGGGUAUAGCUCGUCCGCGUUUGGUACAAUACCAAUUUUGUCGGCCCGCUCAAGAGUGCUCUUUACCGAGUGUUCCAGGGUGGCCGACACGUUCACUUUGAAAAAAUUAGAGUGCUUAAAGCAGGCUUAUAUACAGCAUGAAUGUCUGUGCAUGGAAUGAAGUAACAGGACCUCGAUUCUGUUCUUUUUGUCGGUUUUAAUGAACCGAGGUAAUGAUUAAAAGGGACAGACGGUGGCAUUAGUAUUGCGACGCUAGAGGUGAAAUUCUUGGACCGUCGCAAGACUAACGACUGCGAAAGCAUUUGCCAAGAAUGUUUUCAUUAAUCAAGAACGAAAGUUAGAGGAUCGAAGGCGAUCAGAUACCGCCCUAGUUCUAACCCUAAACUAUGCUAACUAGCGAUCCGCCGGAGUCAUUCCCACGACCCGGCGGGAAGCCCCAGGGAAACCAAAGUCUUUGAGUUCCGGGGGAAGUAUGGUUGCAAAUCUGAAACUUAAAGGAAUUGACGGAAGGGCACCACCAGGAGUGGAGCCUGCGGCUUAAUUUGACUCAACACGGGAAACCUCACCAGGCCCGGACAUUAUAAGGAUUGACAGAUUGAGAGCUCUUUCUCGAAUUAAUGGGUGGUGGUGCAUGGCCGUUCUUAGUUGGUGGAGUGAUCUGUCUGGUUGAUUCCGAUAACGAACGAGACUCUACCCUACUAACUAGUCGACGGAUCGUAACCCCGAGACGGUUUGGUUUGUAUAGGGGAGUUUAGCCGAUGCGUUGUUUCGAUCUAAAUUGGUCGGUGUUCGAUCAACUAUUGACGUUCGCCAAGGCCCUUUUUCAAUUGAGCAUCGUUGAGGCGGCUUUCCGAUUACUACCUCCGCCGUUGGGGGCGUCCGUCGAAAUGUAUCUUCUUAGAGGGAUCAGCGACGUCUAGUCGCACGAGAAAGAGCAAUAACAGGUCUGUGAUGCCCUUAGAUGUUCUGGGCCGCACGCGCGCUACAAUGGAGGGAUCAGCGUGCUUUUUCCUCUCCGAAAGGAGCGGGUAACCCCAUGAAAACCCUCCACGAUAGGAAUUGGGGAUUGAAAAUAUUUCCCAUGAACGAGGAAUUCCAAGUAAGCGCGAGUCAUUAACUCGCGUUGAUUACGUCCCUGCCCUUUGUACACACCGCCCGUCGCUACUACCGAUUGAAUGAUUCAGUGAGGACAUCGGACUGGCCCUUCGGUUUAGUAAAAUAGACCUUAGGCUGACGGAAAGAUGUCCGAACUUGAUCAUUUAGAGGAAGUAAAAGUCGUAACAAGGUUUCCGUAGGUGAACCUGCGG